rnacentral:tRNA from 1 species
GAGGAUUUAGCUUAAUUAAAGUGGUUGAUUUGCAUUCAAUUGAUGUA